rnacentral:rRNA from 1 species
UGCGGUCCAGAGGCGGACGGGUGAGUGAGGUUUUGGUCACCUAACCGACAGAGGGGGACAACCCGGGGAAACGUUGGCUAAUCCCGCACGCGGCCGCGCGGCCGUGGGGAGGGUCCGUCGGGCCUUGCUCGCCCUCGGAUGAGCCGGAGUACAAUUAGCUAGUCGGUGGGGUAAUGGCCCACCGGGGCGACGAGGAAAAGCCGGGCUGAGAGGGUGACCCGCCACAAUCGCACUGAGACACGGCCCCCACUCCUACGGGAGGCAGAAGUUCGGAAUGUUCCGCAAUGGGCGCAAGCCUGACGCAGCGGCGCCGCCUGAAGGAAGAAGGCACGCGGGCUGAAAAGUGCAUGAAGCGCGGACGAAGCGGCCGAUGCGCGCACCGUGACCGAUUGACGCUACCCGGCGCACUAGCGCCGGCCAACUCCGCUGCCAGCAGCCGCGGUAACACCGCGGGCGCCAGCGUUACCCGCAAGCNCUAAACCGGAGGCGCCCGUAGGGGGCCCGAAGCAUCGCAAGACGGAACCCCGACCCCAAAAAACCGGAGGAGGGCGAAGGAUACGNACAGGGCCAACGGCCGGAGAGAGGGGUGG